AUCCAUUAAGGAAAUCCAAAGGAAACACCUUUCCAUCAGGAGAAAACUUACAAAGGCUUCACAUUUCUGGUUAUCACAUUUCUUGUUAUUCACAUAUAUAGACAUACAUAUGUAUACAUA